rnacentral:rRNA from 1 species
AUACGUAGGGUGCAAGCGUUAAUCGGAAUUACUGGGCGUAAAGCGUGCGCAGGCGGUUUUGGAAGACAGUGGUGAAAUCCCCGGGCUCAAACUGGGAACUGCCAUUGUGACUGCAAGGCUGGAGUGCGGCAGAGGGGGAUGGAAUUCCGCGUGGAGCAGUGAAAUGCGUAGAUAUGCGGAGGAACACCGAUGGCGAAGGCAAUCCCCUGGGCCUGCACUGACGCUCAUGCACGAAAGCGUGGGGAGCAAACAGGAUUAGAUACCCUGGUAGUCCACGCCCUAAACGAUGUCAACUGGUUGUUGGGGAUUUAUUUUCUCAGUAACGAAGCUAACGCGUGAAGUUGACCGCCUGGGGAGUACGGCCGCAAGGUUAAAACUCAAAGGAAUUGACGGGG